GACGAACGCUGGCGGCGUGCUUAACACAUGCAAGUCGAACGAUGAAGCUGGAGCUUGCUCUAGCGGAUUAGUGGCGAACGGGUGAGUAACACGUGAGCAAUCUGCCCUUGACUCUGGGAUAACUGCGGGAAACUGUAGCUAAUACCGGAUACUUUCACCGGGGGGCAUCCUCUGGUGAUGAAAGAAUUUCGGUCAAGGAUGAGCUCGCGGCCUAUCAGCUUGUUGGUGAGGUAACGGCUCACCAAGGCGACGACGGGUAACCGGCCUGAGAGGGUGGCCGGUCACACUGGGACUGAGACACGGCCCAGACUCCUACGGGAGGCAGCAGUAGGGAAUCUUCCGCAAUGGACGAAAGUCUGACGGAGCAACGCCGCGUGAGGGAUGAAGGUCCUCGGAUCGUAAACCUCUUUUGACAGGGAAGCACUCGCAAGAGUGGACGGUACCUGUAGAAUAAGCACCUGCUAACCAUGUGCCAGCAGCCGCCGUAA
rnacentral:rRNA from 1 species